rnacentral:lncRNA from 1 species
CGUGAUUCCUACCGAGACCACUUCCAAAAAUAUCGCGCACAUGGUUGAAAAUUCCCCUUUUUACCUUACAUCUAUACACCUGGAAGUCUGGGCUGAGAAUGAUUUCUAGCAGACAAUAUCUGCACGAGCUAAAUUUUCCCCGGGAAUUCAAUCGAGCUCUCUGAUUGGUUGAGAAGGGAAAACUAUUUUUAAUGCUAAUGCGAGGUUCGUUACGUCACUAAAAUUUAAUGAAUGAAAUAAAAAUCGGAAAGUAAUAAAAUAAUAAAAAGCAAUCUUUCUGGAAAAAUAAUUAAAAAUAGUAAUAAUGAAAUAAAUAA